AAAAAUAUGAACCCCAAAAAAUUGGGGAAAAAAAUCCCCCCCCCAGUACAAUUUUAGAGAGAUCCAUAUACUUACACACAAGUUAUUGUCUGGAAACUAGAAAAAAUGCAAUGAAGUUUAUUAAAAAUAAAGUUUUUGGCAAAUUUCCAAUGAAGUUCAUUAAACUAAAGUUAUUGGCAAAUUUCCAAUGGAAUUUAUUAAUAAUAAAGUUUUUGGCAAAUUUCCAAUAUACAUAAUUUAAAAGCAGUUUAGGUGAGAUAUUCAAAUGAGUUUCAAUUACCAACCUUACACUGCCUUUUAAAUUAUGUUUUGUACUUAAGGAAUUGUCCAUUAACCUGGAAACCCUUUUCCCCCCUUUUUUGCACCUUAUUCCUUAACGGUUUGAGCCAUAACUCCCAAAGACAAUUCUUACCAUCCCUUUGUGGUAUUCCAAUAUCCAAAAUCUAAAUCCAUGGUUAGAUUCAGCAUAUCAAAGAAC